UGGGGAAUAUUGGACAAUGGGCGCAAGCCUGAUCCAGCCAUGCCGCGUGGGGGAUGAAGGCCCUAGGGUUGUAAAGCUCUUUCACCGGUGAAGAUAAUGACGGUAACCGGAGAAGAAGCCCCGGCUAACUUCGUGCCAGCAGCCGCGGUAAUACGAAGGGGGCUAGCGUUGUUCGGAUUUACUGGGCGUAAAGCGCACGUAGGCGGACUAUUAAGUCAGGGGUGAAAUCCCGGGGCUCAACCCCGGAACUGCCUUUGAUACUGGUAGUCUUGAGUUCGAGAGAGGUGAGUGGAAUUCCGAGUGUAGAGGUGAAAUUCGUAGAUAUUCGGAGGAACACCAGUGGCGAAGGCGGCUCACUGGCUCGAUACUGACGCUGAGGUGCGAAAGCGUGGGGAGCAAACAGG
rnacentral:rRNA from 1 species